GAAAAGAGGCAGAGGAGACGCCACCAUGCAGUAUGUAAUGGCAUACAGACAGCGAGCAAAGAAACUACAAGGAGAUGCUGAGAACAAGAGAUUCAUAGCGUUCAUAGCCACUGCAGGAAGACAUGAGUGCAGAAAGCUCUGCUGGGGAGACUGACAAGGAAAAGUCAGGGGCAGAGACUAUGAAGAGAGUAAGAUGUUUGCUGCUCUGCUCCCAUUCUAGGAAGAUGAACAGGUCAUCUUGGAGUUUGUGUGUUUUCAGAACAAGGGGACCAGACACUAAUGAAAAUGGAUGGGUGAUCCAGCCUCUCAGAGUGCCUCUGUUACAGUUCCUCAGAGCUCUGCAUCUACAACAGCUCCAAGACUGCUUGCUGAGAUGGUCCAGCCUCAUAGACUAUUCCAGCCAGGACUUCAGAUAAUCUUUCCAUUAUCCAAACUACCUCCAGAAAGUACUGAUGCCCACUGUGAGAAAUUCCCCCAUAGUUGAGGAUUAAUAAUCAAAAGAGAUUGAUGGCUUAUCCAGAAUGCAGAAAGCAAAAUCAAUCAUUGUGAUAUAUUGAACUGUGUUAAAUAAAGAAAGGAGGAAGAUAGAGAGAGGGAGGGGGAAAGAGGGAAAAAGAAAUGAAGGAAGAACGAAAGAAAGGCUGAAGUUCUAAGUUAUAAGUACAGCCUUGGUAUCUUUGAAAAUGUCAUUCAGGCAAGAUGAAGCCAUAUUAAAGCAGGGUGGGCCCUUGGUCCAAGGUGAUAAAUGCUCUGCCAAGAAGAGAAGAACACAAGGGAAGACAGAGGAAGGUGUUUGACCUGUGCAUCUAUAAGCCAAGGAUAGUCAGCAACCUCCUCCUGAGCCUAGAUACAUUUGCAGGGAAGAUUCUUCCCCCAGCUCUCAUGAUAGCUCAGCUUCACAGUUUGACUCCAUUGGGUCAUCAGCACACAGGGGAAGAGGGUGGUUCAGGAAAUAUGGACCCUUAUAGGACUGACUACCUUUGACCAAAAAAAAAAAAAAAUCCUCACAUGGCAGCCCCAGAAAACUUUCCAAGUGCUUGGACAGAACCAAUGUCUUAGUUGCUGUUCUAUUGCUGUGAAAAGACACCAUGACCAAGGCAAAGGAAAGCAUUUAAUUGGGAGCUUGCUUACAGUUUCAGAGGGUCAGUCCAUGAUAAUAAGCAUGGUGGGGACUGUGGCAGUUGGUAAGCAGCCAUGAGAGCAGUAGCUGAGAGCUCACAUGAUCUGAAAGUUGCAGCAGAGAGGAUAAGACUGGGCCUGUCAUGGGCUUUUUAAACCUCAAAGCCCACCACCAGUGACAUAUCUCCUCCAACAAGGCCACACCUACUCCAACAAGCCACACCUCCUAAUCCUUCCUAAGGAGUCCACCAACUAGGGGCCAAGCACUCCAACAUCUGAGCCUUUGGGGGCCAUUCUCCUUCAAACCAUCAGAACCAACUUUGCCCAGAAACAGCUAGUUAAUCCAACAGAUGUGAGGAGAAAGGCCACUGGCCCAAAUCAUCAUGGCCAAAUUAAUUAAAGCAAGCACUUAAUUAGAGCAAGGUUUUUAAUUUGGGUACAUGGGCUAUCUCCUCCUAAGGGUAGGGAUCAAAAGACCAGCCUUGGAUAUGGGUAACAUAAAGUUUUUUUUGUAGCUCAAGAGUAGGGUGUUUCUAAAUGGAGAAUUUAGCAGGCAGACAGGCAUGGUUACAGAAGCAGAACACAAACAUAGCAAGUUGGUCAUAAUCACCUCCUGUAACAAAGACAUGUUUGCAAGGUAGUUAUAACAAGGUGGUCAUAAUAUCCUUUUGAAACAAAGGCAUUGUUAAGUUUCAAAUCCAGGACAAACAGCUGAGGUGCCCAUUCAACAUAUUAAAGCUGACCUGGCCAUCAGGCUCUCCCAGAAUCCAUCUGUCCCUACCUGUUACAGAGUAUGGCUGACAUACUCUGCCCUCUACCCUGAACUCUCCAGUCCAGGGGCUGGGCUGCCCUUCU